rnacentral:rRNA from 1 species
CAGUAGCCACGGUAAUACAGAGGGUGCGAGCGUUAAUCGGAUUUACUGGGCGUAAAGCGUGCGUAGGCGGCUUCUUAAGUCGGAUGUGAAAUCCCUGAGCUUAACUUAGGAAUUGCAUUCGAUACUGGGAAGCUAGAGUAUGGGAGAGGAUGGUAGAAUUCCAGGUGUAGCGGUGAAAUGCGUAGAGAUCUGGAGGAAUACCGAUGGCGAAGGCAGCCAUCUGGCCUAAUACUGACGCUGAGGUACGAAAGCAUGGGGAGCAAACAGGAUUAGAGACCCCGGUAGUCCCUGUCUCUUAUAA